GAUGAACGCUAGCUACAGGCUUAACACGUGCAAGUCGAGGGGAAACGAUAGAGAAAGCUUGCUUUUUCUAGGCGUCGACCGGCGCACGGGUGAGUAACGCGUAUCCAACCUGCCCAUCACUUGGGGAUAACCUUGCGAAAGUAAGACUAAUACCCAAUGACGUCUCUAGAAGACAUCUGAAAGAGAUUAAAGAUUUAUCGGUGAUGGAUGGGGAUGCGUCUGAUUAGCUUGUUGGCGGGGUAACGGCCCACCAAGGCGACGAUCAGUAGGGGUCCUGAGAGGAAGGUCCCCCACAUUGGAACUGAGACACGGUCCAAACUCCUACGGGAGGCAGCAGUGAGGAAUAUUGGUCAAUGGACGAGAGUCUGAACCAGCCAAGUAGCGUGCAGGAUGACGGCCCUAUGGGUUGAAACUGCUUUUAUAAGGGAAUAAAGUGAGUCUACGUGAGGCUUUUGCAUGUACCUUAUGAAUAAGGACCGGCUAAUUCCGUGCCAGCAGCCGC
rnacentral:rRNA from 1 species